rnacentral:rRNA from 1 species
GACGAACGCUGGCGGCGUGCCUAAUACAUGCAAGUAGGACGCAGUUGCGAACGGGUGGGUAACGAGUAGGUAACUGCGUGGUAGAAGGGGAUGACUAGUGGAAACGAUAGCUAAUACCGCAUACUAAUCGGUGGACCUGUGUUGUAUUAGCUAGUAGGUAGGGUAAUGGCAUACCUAGGCAAAGAUACAUAGCCGACCUGAGAGGGUGAGCGGCCACACUGGGACUGAGACACGGCCCAGACUCCUACGGGAGGCAGCAGUAGGGAAUCUUCGGCAAUGGGGGGAAGCCUGACCGAGCAACGCCGCGUGAGUGAAGAAGGUUUUCGGAUCGUAAAGCUCUGUUGUUAAGGAAGCGGUACCUAACCAGAAAGGGACGGCUAACUACGUGCCAGCAGCCGCGGUAAUAC